GGACGAACGCCGGGCGGCGUUGCCUUUAUACAUGCAAGUCCGAGCGAAGGUUUUUUUUGGUGCUUGCAACUAGAAAAAACUUAGCGGGCGGACCGGGGUGAAGUAAACACGGUAAAGGAACCUUGCCUCAUAGACUUGGGGACAACUUAUUGGGAAACGAUAGCCUAAUACCCGGAUAAUUAGCAUUAACCUGCCAUGGUUGAUUGUUUGAAAAGUUGGUUUUUUCCUACCACUUAUGAGAAUGGCUUUUCCGGUGCAUUAGCUAGUUGGUGGGGGAAAAGGCCUACCCAAGGCGACGGAUGCAUAGCCGACCGAGAGGGUAUCGGCCACACUGGGACUGAGACACGGCCCAGACUCCUACGGGAGGCCGCAGUAGGGAAUUUUCCGCAAAGGGCGAAAACCUGACGGAGCAACGCCCGUGAGUGAAGAAGGAUUUCGGUUCGUAAAGCUCUGUUGUUAGGGAAGAAUGAUUAUGUAGUAACUAUACAUAGUAGAGACGGUACCUAACCAGAAAACCACGGCUAACUACGUGCCAGCAGCCGCGGUAAUACGUAGGUGGCAAGCGUUGUCCGGAAUUAUUGGGCGUAAAGCGCGCGCAGGUGGUUUAAUAAGUCUGAUGUGAAAGCCCACGGCUCAACCGUGGAGGGUCAUUGGAAACUGUUAAACUUGAGUGCAGGAGAGAAAAGUGGAAUUCCUAGUGUAGCGGUGAAAUGCGUAGAGAUUAGGAGGAACACCAGUGGCGAAGGCGGCUUUUUGGCCUGUAACUGACACUGAGGCGCGAAAGCGUGGGGAGCAAACAGG
rnacentral:rRNA from 1 species